CUACGGGUGGCUCCAGUGGGGAAUAUUGCGCAAUGGGGGAAACCCUGACGCAGUGACGCCGUGUGAGUGAUGAAGGUUUUCGGAUCGUAAAGCUCUGUCAGACGGGAAGAAUAAAGGUAGUAAAAAUAUUACAAUCUGAUGACGGUACCGUCAGAGGAAGCACCGGCUAACUCCGUGCCAGCAGCCGCGGUAAUACGGAGGGUGCAAACGUUGUUCGGAAUUACUGGGCGUAAAGCGCAUGUAGGCGGAUAUGUAGGUCAGAUGUGAAAGCCCUUGGCUCAACCAAGGAAGUGCAUCUGAAACCCCAUAUCUUGAGUAUGACAGAGGGAAGUGGAAUUUCCAGUGUAGAGGUGAAAUUCAUAGAUAUUGGAAAGAACACCGGUGGCGAAGGCGGCUUUCUGGGUCAUUACUGACGCUGAGAUGCGAAAGCGUGGGGAGCAAACAGGAUUAGAUACCCCUGUAGUC
rnacentral:rRNA from 1 species